rnacentral:rRNA from 1 species
UACGUAGGGUGCGAGCGUUAAUCGGAAUUACUGGGCGUAAAGCGUGCGCAGGCGGUUUUGUAAGCCAGAUGUGAAAGCCCCGGGCUCAACCUGGGAAUGGCAUUUGGGACUGCAAGGCUUGAGUGCGGCAGAGGAGACUGGAAUUCCUGGUGUAGCAGUGAAAUGCGUAGAUAUCAGGAGGAAUACCGAUGGACGAAGGCCGGCAUCUGGGAG